rnacentral:piRNA from 1 species
UCUGUCUUGUGAUCCUUUGCUAAGGUAUUGU